UAGAAUUGGGGAAAUUUUUGAGAUCAUGAUUUCUCGAUCUCUUGCAACGGUGAAGCGAGGGUGAAGGCUUCACCGUGAAGCGACGACAACGACUCAACGAGGGUUCAUCGACGAUGACAACAAGGGUUCAUCGAGGGUGAAGCGAGGGUGCAGCGACGAUGACAAGAGGGUGAAGCUAUGACGACGAUUGAAGGUGAAGCUAUGACGACGAUCUCUCUGUCUCUCAGGCUCUCUCUGUCUCCGACGAUCUCUCUCUCCGGCGAUCUCUCUGUCUCUCAGGCUCUCUCUCUCUCCGACCACUUUGCUCUCUCAGGCUCCAUCUCCCCGGCGAUCAUUCUGUCUCUCAGGCUCUCUCUCUCUCCGGCGAUCUCUCUCUCAAGCUCCAUCUCUCCGGCAACUUUGCUCUCUCAGGCUCCAUCUCCCCGGCGACAUCUCUCUCUCUCAGGCUCUCUCUCCGGCGAUCUCUCUCUCAAGUCUUUUAUGCUUGCUUCUCUCAAAAGAUCGCUGGUGGUAGUGGGAAAUCACCAUUAGACACAUACUUGGAUGAGCCAGUGAUUGAUAUGGAAAGCUUUAGAAGUUUGGAUGCUGUCUCAUACUGGAAAGACAAUGCAAGCCGCUUUAAAGAGUUGUCUUCAAUGGCUUGCGAUGUCCUCAGUAUCCCUCUCACGACAGUGGCGUCGGAAUCAUCAUUCAGCAUUGGUAGCCGAGUUCUCAACAAGUACAGAAGCUGUCUCCUACCCACAAACGUUCAAGCUUUGAUCUGCGCAAGGAACUGGUUCCGUGGCUUCCAAGAAAUAGGUGGUGAGAUUGAGUUUACCUCUUAGGUGAUGAGGAUCCCUUCAGUAUAUGAUGCUUUUCUACUGGAUUCUACCAAGGAUUUAUGAUUCUGGAUUUAGCAGUAAACAAUGAUGGUGCUUUAGGUGGUAAGAGGUUACUUGCGGAUGCCACAAAUGCGAGAACUGUUCAAUCUCUUGAGAUUUUGAUAUUGUGAGUUUGAGACCUUGUUAUCUUUGAGACUUUGAUAUUGUAAGUAUGAGAAUUUGUUAU